AGGGGGAAUUACCAUUAAAACCACAAAAAUAAUCGGAUUUCCUUUAAUAAUUUCACCAAGCCAUACUUAGAACAGAAUCACAUAACAAAAUGUAACUGUAGCACAAUAAAUUUGCUGUGUUUUUUUAACUUACAGUUAUUUUUAUUAAUUAUCAAUAGAAGCAUUAUACAAUUUUAAAAGUUUAGACACUUUAUGGUAGCUGCGGUGUCUGGCUGUAUAGGUAUUUACAAACCAUUAAAUAAAACAUAGAAAAAAAAUACAUGGCGCGAAAUUUCAAUGUUGUAUUUUAAAACAAUUGUCGGUCUAUACUAAAUGUAUUUUUCGGAAUCUCAAGACACCGCAACAGGUAAAUAUAUUUUCUUAGAUAAAAUAUGAGUGUAAUGGUAGUAGGUAAUUCAAUAUACCUAUUCUGAUUUGUGGUUAAAACUUUUAA